ACGAGUGAGCUUUCAAAGUUCUUCAUAGAAAUUUAAGGCACCGCAGUCUGCGGUGCCUUUUUUCUUGCGGGAG
rnacentral:sRNA from 1 species